rnacentral:lncRNA from 1 species
UGGAGGAUGGAUGGAUGGAUGGGCCAGGGGAGGGGCUUCUCCAAGUUGUGGCAGAGUCCAAGGAGCAAAGAAGUUCAGAACCAAUUACACUCCUCCUCCGCCAUGGGAGCAGAGGCCUAAGCAGAAAGGGAGCUCAGCCCCAGGGCUCUCUAACACCCACCAGGGCCUUCCAAAGCAGCUAUUAAAGAUGGGAGAUCCAAGCCCUGAUUUCUUCCUGAGCUUGGAAGCAAGGGCUUCAGGACCCCCCUGAGGCGGAGUCGGCCUGGGGAAUCUCUCGCUGGAGCAGAGCAGUAGUUAUCAGGGAUGCUUCAGACGGCGCUGGACUGCAGGCAGGGAGACGUAAAACUCAGCUCUUCGUGACCUUUUCUGGGAGCAGAAAGCAGCUGGAGAACUAAGUGCUGUUAGUGUCCAGGGAGGUUUCCCACCCAGUUGCCCGAUGUUCCCCACUCCACCCCGCAAAGGAGAGGCUUGGGAGGGUAAAAGAUCACGGAGCUCAAGGUUACGCAGCCCAGACCCCUCAUUUAACUGAGAUCACACCGCUAGCCUGUGGUAGAGCUGGGCUUCUGCACACCCAACCGCAGUCAGAUUCUCCCCUUUCUGAUGACGAGAAGGAAGCGUCGGGGCUGGGACAGCAGGAUCCCCAGACGAUGUGAUACCCUUUUCAUCUGAAGUCCGGCGGUUCCCUCGAUUUGACCACAGUCUGCGACCUUUCUGUGGAAAGACCUUCGAGGGUGAAAGAGAAAUAUUCGCACCCUGUGGGAAAUGGAGAAGGGGCCCUAACCCUUCUGUGGUGCAGAGACCCCAGGAAGCUCCGCCCAGCCCGGGGAGCUGGGACUGAGCUGGGGAGGAAGGAGCUCAUACUGAGAGACAGAGGAAGUCCAAGAGCACAGAGAGGAGCACCCCGGCUCGGGCACAGUUCAGCUGUGCGCGAAGAGAGGAACAGAGUAAGGGAACCCUCCGGCCCCUUUGUAUCUCACCACCACUGAUCAUAUUGGUGAGUAUCCCGGCUGGGGCACGGUAACCGGGGGGGGGGGGGGGGGGAAGGAAGGGGAACUCCUCAAGGG